rnacentral:rRNA from 1 species
UACGUAGGGUGCGAGCGUUAAUCGGAAUUACUGGGCGUAAAGCGUGCGCAGGCGGUUUUGUAAGCCCGAUGUGAAAUCCCCGGGCUUAACCUGGGAAUGGCAUUUGGGACUGCAAGGCUCGAGUUUGGCAGAGGAGACUGGAAUUCCUGGUGUAGCAGUGAAAUGCGUAGAUAUCAGGAGGAAUACCGAUGGCGAAGGCAGGUCUCUGGGCUGAAACUGACGCUCAUGCACGAAAGCGUGGGGAGCAAACAGG